rnacentral:lncRNA from 1 species
CCCCAUUGUAAAUGGAGAUAAUGAUACUAUCUCCCCUCACAGGACUGUUGGGAUGCUACUGGAUUUAAUAAGCUAAUGCAGGGACAUGCUAAGCACAACCCAUCCCUGAGGCCCAGAGAGGGGUGGGCCUUGGCUGAGGUCUCACUGCGAGGUGGGAAUGUGGGCCUCCAGACCAGAGGUAGGUCCUGUGGCCCCUAGACAGUGGACAGCAAUGGUCAGUUUGACACACCAGAGCCCUAGCCAUUACUUCCUGGAUGUUGUGUGAAUAUUUUCUGGACAUGGCUUAUAUAAAAUGAAAAAGUGAAUUGGGCACGAUACAGGGAUAGAUUUUUAGAGAUGAACUGGUAGCAUGAUGAUAAUCAUAUUCACUGAUAACAUUUACUACUGUUAUUGACUGCUUUAAAAGUGUUGGGCAUUGUGCUAGAAACCAUUAUAUGCAUUAUCUCCUUGAAUUCUCACAACCGCCUACUGAGGUAUUCUCAGACUCUAAGAAAUGAGAUUUAAGAGAAGUUAUCUGCCCAAG